rnacentral:rRNA from 1 species
AGUGAACGCUGGCGGUAGGCCUAACACAUGCAAGUCGAACGGCAGCACAGGAGAGCUUGCUCUCUGGGUGGCGAGUGGCGGACGGGUGAGGAAUACAUCGGAAUCUGCCCAGUCGUGGGGGAUAACGUAGGGAAACUUACGCUAAUACCGCAUACGACCUUCGGGUGAAAGAGGGGGAACGCAAGACCUCUCGCGAUUGGAUGAGCCGAUGUCGGAUUAGCUAGUUGGCGGGGUAAUGGCCCACCAAGGCGACGAUCCGUAGCUGGUCUGAGAGGAUGAUCAGCCACACUGGAACUGAGACACGGUCCAGACUCCUACGGGAGGCAGCAGUGGGGAAUAUUGGACAAUGGGCGCAAGCCUGAUCCAGCCAUACCGCGUGGGUGAAGAAGGCCUUCGGGUUGUAAAGCCCUUUUGUUGGGAAAGAAAUCUUUCAGGCUAAUACCCUGGGAGGAUGACGGUACCCAAAGAAUAAGCACCGGCUAACUUCGUG